UAGAGUUUGAUCAUGGCUCAGGACGAACGCUGGCGGCGUGCUUAACACAUGCAAGUGGAGCGACGAACCCGAGCUUGCUCGGGGGCAAAGCCGCGAACGGGUGAGUAACACGUGGGUAACCUGCCCUGUUGAUUGGGACAACCCCGGGAAACCGGGGCUAAUACCAAAUGUGCUCGCAUCUACAUCAGUAGGAGCGAGGAAAGGAGGCUUCGGCUUCCGCAACGGGAUGAGCCUGCGGCCCAUCAGGUAGUUGGCGGAGCAACAGCCCACCAAGCCUAAGGCGGGUAGCUGGUCUGAGAGGAUGAUCAGCCACACUGGAACUGAGACACGGUCCAGACUCCUACGGGAGGCAGCAGUGGGGAAUCUUGCGCRAUGGACGAAAGUCUGACGCAGCGACGCCGCGUGGGUGAUGAAGGCCUUCGGGUUGUAAAGCCCUGUGGGGAGGGACGAAUAAGUGCCGGUUAAUACCCGGCACGAUGACGGUACCUCCUUAGCRRAGCACCGGCUAACUCUGUGCCAGCCGCCGCGGKRAKACARAGGG
rnacentral:rRNA from 1 species